CCGCCGGCCCGUCGGCCCUGCAAAGUUUAACGCCAAUUCCCCUUGCGUCCUGGGAGCCGAGCGUUUUCUCUCCCUGCUGACGCUCCCAGCAGCUCUGCCUGGCCAGGCCAGGCUGGAGAGCACCCGGACCAUUUUCCAGACGGUGAGAUGGAGCCCUGGAAACCGAGCUUAUGAGCAGCCCGGAGCUUUCCAUUGCCUGCCCAGCCUUCCAGAUACAUCCCAGUUCCAGUUCUUUCCAGAGCCCUCUGGGAUCCAGCCAGCCUGCUUCCCCGCCAGGGCCUCACUGCUUCCAAACCUACUUCCCAGAAAUUUGGUGGCUGCCUCUGUGCUAUGAUUUGGUUGCUACCUGCUGAAGCUUCAACCUCUCAUCACUACCAGAAGGACCACAUCACUAAAAGUCCAUCAAUGGGGUUACUCACUUUGAUGGGCCUGUGCAGCGUCAUUCAGGAAGCCCGUGGUACUCACAUCACUCUGGCCAGACGCUAACAAGAAAAUGAUCCACUGUGACGCAGCCGACCCCAUCCAGUGCAUCCACAUUACCUGGAAAGAAGCAAUUAUGCCCCUUUGGUUUCCUUGGAAAUGCUUGGUCUGUCUCUACCAUCCGCCCUGGCUCUUGAGAAAUACUCAUGCACGGUAGAGCUUUGACAGGGAGACAGUGUGUUUAUUUUCCAACUGAAAGUUUACAGAAUACAAAGUGAGCCUGUAAGAUGGUGGCCACUCUCCAGAGGCUUGUUGGUCAGACAGGAAAGAAAACCAGUGCACCAUCGGGAACGUGGAGGAGGCUGAAAGAGAGGGACAAACAUAUUGGAUUGGAUUGGGCCCCCACAGUCAAGUUCCUGCAAACCAAGCUGGGAGAUUUUCCUGACUAAGGGUUAUGUUCUUGGGCCUCAAAGCUCCCCAGCCAACGCCCAGCUUCUGUGCCGAGGAGGAUACAGGAGGACAGACACAGCCUCUGUGUCAGGAGGAGGGAAGAAGGACUAAUGUCUGUGGACACUCUGAGGCUCACAGGGAGAAGCCACACACUCGCAGCACCAGAUGAGUAAACAGAGGCUUGGAGGGGUGAUGAAAUUUGCCAACAGUCAUCAAUCGUUCCAGGAACAGGUGAUGCUUCCCGGCAGUGAGACUCGAAACCAGCGGGAGUUCCCAGCCAGAGACAUGAUCUAAGUGCCAAUGGCUGAAUGUCUGUGAGCAUUUCAAGUCAUUUUAAGAAUAGGCAACAUUAGCGGCACCAUUAAAGCCUGCUGUUCCUCCAGCCCAUCACUGCCAUCCCCACCUAUUAAAAUAAUGGCAUGAAAAAUAAACAGCCUUUAUGUACAAUUUUA
rnacentral:lncRNA from 1 species